rnacentral:rRNA from 1 species
GCCCGGGUGGACAUGUGGUUUAUUCGAGCACGCGAAGAACCUUACCAGGUCUUGACAUCCUCUGACAACCCUAGAGAUAGGGCUUCUCCUUCGGGAGCAGAGUGACAGGUGGUGCAUGGUUGUCGUCAGCUCGUGUCGUGAGAUGUUGGGUUAAGUCCCGCAACGAGCGCAACCCUUGAUCUUAGUUGCCAUCUUUUAGUUGGGCACUCUAAGGUGACUGCCGGUGACAAACCGGAGGAAGGUGGGGAUGAC